AAUGGGGGGAACCCUGACCGAGCAACGCCGCGUGAGUGAAGAAGGUUUUCGGAUCGUAAAGCUCUGUUGUUAAGGAAGAACGUGUGUGAGAGUGGAAAGUUCACACAGUGACGGUACUUAACCAGAAAGGGACGGCUAACUACGUGCCAGCAGCCGCGGUAAUACGUAGGUCCCGAGCGUUGUCCGGAUUUAUUGGGCGUAAAGCGAGCGCAGGCGGUUAGAUAAGUCUGAAGUGAAAGGCAGUGGCUCAACCAUUGUAGGCUUUGGAAACUGUUUAACUUGAGUGCAGAAGGGGAGAGUGGAAUUCCAUGUGUAGCGGUGAAAUGCGUAGAUAUAUGGAGGAACACCGGUGGCGAAAGCGGCUCUCUGGUCUGUAACUGACGCUGAGGCUCGAAAGCGUGGGGAGCGAACAAGAUUAGGUACCCUGGUAGUCCACGCCGUAAACGAUGAGUGCUAGGUGUUAGGUCCUUUCCGGGACUUAGUGCCGCAGCUAACGCAUUAAGCACUCCGCCUGGGGAGUACGACCGCAAGGUUGAAACUCAAAGGAAUUGACGGGGGCCCGCACAAGCGGUGGAGCAUGUGGUUUAAUUCGAAGCAAGCGAAGAACCUUACCAGGUCUUGACAUCCCGAUGCCCGCUCUAGAGAUAGAGCUUUACUUCGGUACAUCGGUGACAGGUGGUGCAUGGU
rnacentral:rRNA from 1 species